CUGCGGAGGGAUCAUUACCGAGUUUACAACUCCCAAACCCCUGUGAACAUACCUAUACGUUGCCUCGGCGGAUCAGCCCGCGCCCCGUAAAAAGGGACGGCCCGCCCGAGGACCCCUAAACUCUGUUUUUAGUGGAACUUCUGAGUAAAACAAACAAAUAAAUCAAAACUUUCAACAACGGAUCUCUUGGUUCUGGCAUCGAUGAAGAACGCAGCAAAAUGCGAUAAGUAAUGUGAAUUGCAGAAUUCAGUGAAUCAUCGAAUCUUUGAACGCACAUUGCGCCCGCCAGUAUUCUGGCGGGCAUGCCUGUUCGAGCGUCAUUUCAACCCUCAAGCUCAGCUUGGUGUUGGGACUCGCGGUAACCCGCGUUCCCCAAAUCGAUUGGCGGUCACGUCGAGCUUCCAUAGCGUAGUAAUCAUACACCUCGUUACUGGUAAUCGUCGCGGCCACGCCGUAAAACCCCAACUUCUGAAUGUUGACCUCGGAUCAGGUAGGAAUACCCGCUGAACUUAAGCAUAUCA
rnacentral:rRNA from 1 species